GGAAUCUUCCACAAUGGACGAAAGUCUGAUGGAGCAACGCCGCGUGAGUGAUGAAGGGUUUCGGCUCGUAAAACUCUGUUGUUGGAGAAGAACAGGUGUCAGAGUAACUGUUGACAUCUUGACGGUAUCCAACCAGAAAGCCCCGGCUUACUACGUGCCAGCAGCCGAGGUAAUACGUAGGCGGCAAGCGUUGUCCGGAUUUAUUGGGCGUAAAGCGAGCGCAGGCGGUUUUUUAGGUCUGAUGUGAAAGCCUUCGGCUUAACCGGAGAAGUGCAUCGGAAACUGGGAAACUUGAGUGCAGAAGAGGACAGUGGAACUCCAUGAGUAGCGGUGAAAUGCGUAGAUAUAUGGAAGAACACCAGUGGCGAAGGCGGCUGUCUGGUCUGUAACUGACGCUGAGGCUCGAAAGCAUGGGUAGCG
rnacentral:rRNA from 1 species